rnacentral:rRNA from 2 species
CCCCGAGAUGAGUUCUCCCUGACUCCUUGAGAGUCCUGAAGGAACGUUGAAGACGACGACGUUGAUAGGCCGGGUGUGUAAGCGCAGCGAUGCGUUGAGCUAACCGGUACUAAUGAACCGUGAGGCUUAACCUU